UACGUAGGUGGCGAGCGUUGUCCGGAUUUACUGGGCGUAAAGCGUGCGCAGGCGGUGAUGUAAGACAGGUGUGAAAUCCCCGGGCUUAACCUGGGAACUGCAUUUGUGACUGCAUCGCUGGAGUGCGGCAGAGGGGGAUGGAAUUCCGCGUGUAGCAGUGAAAUGCGUAGAUAUGCGGAGGAACACCGAUGGCGAAGGCAAUCCCCUGGGCCUGCACUGACGCUCAUGCACGAAAGCGUGGGGAGCAAACAGG
rnacentral:rRNA from 1 species